rnacentral:rRNA from 1 species
AGCAGCCGCGGUAAUUCCAGCUCCAAUAGCGUAUAUUAAAGUUGUUGCAGUUAAAAAGCUCGUAGUUGAAUUUCGGGAUCAGUACGCUGGUCGUGCCUUUGGUAUGUACUGGUGUCACUGAUUCCUCCCUUCUGAAGAACCGUUAUGCCAUUUAUUUGGUGUGGCGGGAAAUCAGGACUGUUACUUUGAAAAAAUUAGAGUGUUUAAAGCAGGCUCGCGCUUGAAUACAUUAGCAUGGAAUAAUGAAAUAGGACGUUUGAUCUUAUUUUGUUGGUUUCUAGGAUCGACGUAAUGAUUAAUAGGGAUAGUUGGGGGCAUUAGUAUUCAAUUGUCAGAGGUGAAAUUCUUGGAUUUAUUGAAGACUAACUACUGCGAAAGCAUUUGCCAAGGAUGUUUUCAUUAAUCAAGAACGAAAGUUAGGGGAUCGAAGACGAUCAGAUACCGUCGUAGUCUUAACCAUAAACUAUGCCGACUAGGGAUCGGAUGAUGUUAAUUUUUAAUGACUCAUUUCGGCGUA